AUGGACUCGGUAUGCGAUGUUGCACCUGGGAUACAUCACACUCCUCAGGAACAUCUGCAGGCCACCAGCAGGGCUCAAGAGGAUGUGAGGAGGCCCUCAAACAACCCCAUCCCACCAAGUGGGACCUCUCUGCGUGGUCACCCUGGAAAGAGGCACCAACUGGGACUAAGUUCAUCAGCCAGGAGCAGCCCUGUAGCAGCCCCGCUGGUUGGAUGGAGACCGACGGAAGCUUCCCGGUGUGCCAGCCCCAGGCUGCAGCAGGCUGCAAUAUGUGAGGAGAGCUGGUGCUGCCCUGCUGCUCAAAUGGCAAGAAUGUGA
rnacentral:lncRNA from 1 species